GACGAACGCUGGCGGCGUGCUUAACACAUGCAAGUCGAACGGAAAGGCCCUGCUUUUGUGGGGUGCUCGAGUGGCGAACGGGUGAGUAACACGUGAGUAACCUGCCCUUGACUUUGGGAUAACUUCAGGAAACUGGGGCUAAUACCGGAUAGGAGCUCCUGCUGCAUGGUGGGGGUUGGAAAGUUUCGGCGGUUGGGGAUGGACUCGCGGCUUAUCAGCUUGUUGGUGGGGUAGUGGCUUACCAAGGCUUUGACGGGUAGCCGGACUGAGAGGGUGACCGGCCACAUUGGGACUGAGAUACGGCCCAGACUCCUACGGGAGGCAGCAGUGGGGAAUAUUGCAAAAUGGGCGGAAGCAUGAUGCAGCAACGCCGCGUGCGGGAUGACGGCCUUCGGGUUGUAAACCGCUUUCGCCUGUGACGAAGCGUGAGUGACGGUAAUGGGUAAAGAAGCACCGGCUAACUACGUG
rnacentral:rRNA from 1 species